AGUGCAAUUGCUGGGUCAUAUGGUAAGAGUACAUUUAGUUCUGUUAGAAACUGCCAGACUGCCUUCCAAAUUGGCUGUACCAUGUUGCAUUCCCAUCAGCAAU
rnacentral:pre_miRNA from 1 species